rnacentral:rRNA from 1 species
UUUCGGAGACUUAGUGGCGAAAGGGUGAGUAACACGUGGGUAACCUGCCCUUGGGAUCGGGAUAACCUAUCGAAAGAUGGGCUAAUACCGGAUACGUCCCUGCAGCGUAUGCUGUGGGGGGAAAGAUGGGGAUCCGAAAGGACCUAUCACCCUUGGAGGGGCUCGCGGCCUAUCAGCUAGUUGGUGAGGUAACGGCUUACCAAGGCUACGAUGUCUAGGGGUUCUGAGAGGAUGAUCCCCCACACUGGUACUGAGACACGGACCAGACUCCUACGGGAGGCAGCAGUGAGGAAUAUUGGUCAAUGGGCGCAAGCCUGAACCAGCCAUCCCGCGUGUAGGAAGACUGCCCUAUGGGUUGUAAACUACUUUUAUAAAGGAAGAAACCCUUCUACGUGUAGAAGGCUGACUGUACUUAAGAAUAAGCACCGCUAACU